GAUGAACGCUGGCGGCGUGCCUAAUACAUGCAAGUCGAGCGAACGGACGAGAAGCUUGCUUUUCUGAUGUUAGCGGCGGACGGGUGAGUAACACGUGGAUAACCUACCUAUAAGACUGGGAUAACUUCGGGAAACCGGAGCUAAUACCGGAUAAUAUUUUGAACCGCAUGGUUCAAAAGUGAAAGACGGUCUUGCUGUCACUUAUAGAUGGAUCCGCGCUGCAUUAGCUAGUUGGUAAGGUAACGGCUUACCAAGGCAACGAUGCAUAGCCGACCUGAGAGGGUGAUCGGCCACACUGGAACUGAGACACGGUCCAGACUCCUACGGGAGGCAGCAGUAGGGAAUCUUCCGCAAUGGGCGAAAGCCUGACGGAGCAACGCCGCGUGAGUGAUGAAGGUCUUCGGAUCGUAAAACUCUGUUAUUAGGGAAGAACAUAUGUGUAAGUAACUGUGGACAUCUUGACGGUACCUAAUCAGAAAGCCACGGCUAACUACGUG
rnacentral:rRNA from 1 species